rnacentral:rRNA from 1 species
CCUACGGGAGGCAGCAGUGGGGAAUAUUGCACAAUGGGGGAAACCCUGAUGCAGCGACGCCGCGUGAGUGAAGAAGUAUCUCGUUACGUAAAGCUCUAUCAGCAGGGAAGAAAAUGACGGUACCUGACUAAGAAGCCCCGGCUAACUACGUGCCAGCAGCCGCGGUAAUACGUAGGGGGCAAGCGUUAUCCGGAAUUACUGGGUGUAAAGGGAGCGUAGGCGGCAAGGUAAGUAAGAUGUGAAAGCCCGCAGCUUAACUGCGAGGAUUGCAUUUUAAACUAUCUGGCUUGAGUACAGGAGAGGUAAGCGGAAUUCCUGGUGUAGCGGUGAAAUGCGUAGAUAUUAGGAAGAACACCAGUGGCGAAGGCGGCUUACUGGACUGUAACUGACGCUGAGGCUCGAAAGCGUGGGGAGAGAACAGGAUUAGAUACCCCUGUAGU